rnacentral:tRNA from 1 species
AAGGAUUUAAGUUAAUUAAACUCUUAGCCUUCAAAGUUAAAAAUAGAAAGGAUAUUCUAAGCCUUA